GAUGUCAAUUUUAAGAUGGGUUUGUUUUGAUUUUAUUUCGCAAAUUUGAGAUCACUGAACCGAACUUCAUUUUGCUUGGUGACUUUGCUGAAAUUUAAAAAGUGACAGUUCUAGGGACUUAGCGUUUUCAAAGCGGGUGUUCUGCAUCAUUCAUGGCGCACCGAGUUGAUUAACACUCUAGAGAAACCGGAAGCCAAGAAGCAGCAAAAGUUGUUUCUACAGGGCGUUGCCAUCCAAGACUCUUGAUACUCAUCGAUGACCCUCCUGGAAGACGACCGUCCCGCCGGAACCACCACCCAUCGAAAUGUCCGCCGGUGGAAGGACCGCCGGAAGCAGUUGAAAGCGACCGCUGACGGCAUCGCCGGUGGCGGCUAAC